CCUCCCGCACAAUGUGGCGAGCCGCCUCCUCUCCCCGCGCCGUGUCUCUGCACGCCAGAAUCACCCGCGCACCUGAGGAGAGGAACACCUCCCAGUGGCGACCGUGCUUGUGCGCACAUGCAGGGUGAAAUACGAUCACGGUGCACAGUAUGAGGCGUAGCUGUUGGGGUCCUCGGCGGAGGCCAGGACGAAAUUCAAAACCCGGAUCCACAGUGUCUCGUCCUGCAAGGCGCUGCGGGGACCCGGGUUCCCCUGUGACCUCAGGCUGCUCUGGAAGAAGGGCGCCGUCUCGCUGGCCUCCUCCUGGACCGGGCUCCCGAAGGUGUCGCCCGCCGCGGCCCCGUCGCCGCCC